CGUUAUGCUCAGUUGAAGGUCUGUCAUCCUCCUUAGAUCAGAGAGCAACAUCGGCAGGGAGUCCCCUCUCCUGAGUCAGGCAAACUUCGAGCCCAGGCACUUCCUGGUGGAAGUCUCGAAGAAGGAGAAGAGCCUGCAGAACCUCCUGGAAGUGCCUCCCAAUGUAGCAUUGUCCCAAUCCAAACUGGGAACCACUAGGCCAGAAAAGAGGAGGUUUUCCAUGGCUUUCUCCGAGAGCAGCAUGGGGCCAGUGAGCAAGCGGCGAUGUGCUACCCAGGGUUCAGUGGGGCCAAGGUCUACUGCCAGACUCAGGUUUGCCCCUGGUCCAGCUCAUCCUCUGGGUCCAUCUCCGCCUCUGGGCCUAGCCCUGGCUCCUGACCAAGCUCUGCCUCUGGGCCCAGCCUUGACUCCUGACCAAGCUCUGCCUCUGGACCCAGCCCUGGCCCCUGGCCUAGUUCCACCCCUGGACCUCGCUCGACCUCUGGAUCCAGCCCUGAGCCGAGCUCCUCCUCUGGGCCCUGCCCUGGUCCCUGGCCAAGCUCCAUUCCUGGACCCAGCUCUGGUCCCUGGCCAAGCUCCAUUCCUGGACCCAACUCUGGCCCCUGAACCCAGCUUUGACCCCUGGUGGAGCUCCGCCCCUGGACCCAGUUCUGCUACUGAUCCCAGCUCUGGCCCCCGACCCAGCUUUGCCUCUGGACACAGUUCUGCCCCUGGACCCAGCCCUGGCUCUUGACCAAGCUCUGCCUCUGGGCCCAGCCCUGGCCCCUGGCCUAGUUCCUCCCCUGGACCCAGGCCUGCUGCCUUCCGUGUGUUCGACUUCCUCAGGGUUUUUCGGACAUCAGUCAUGUUGAGGGUCAGUGCUCAAGAAGGGCAGAAGUCAUGUUCUCUGAUGAAUCCCCUUUCCGAUUGUUUGGGGCAUCCAAAAAAAGAUUGUCUGGAGGAGAAAAGGUGAGGGCUACGAUCAGUCCUGUGUCAUGCCAACAGGAAAGCAUCCUGAGACCAUUUGUGUGGGGUUGCUUUUCAGCCAAGGGACUGUGCUCACUCACAAUUUUGCCUAUGAACACAACCAUGAAUAAAGAAUGGUACCAAAACAUC